rnacentral:rRNA from 1 species
UACGAGAGGCCCAAACGUUAUUCGGAAUUACUGGGCUUAAAGAGUUCGUAGGCGGCGCAGAAAGUAGGGUGUGAAAGCCCUCGGCUCAACCGAGGAAUUGCGCUCUAAACUACUGUGCUUGAGGAAUCUAGAGGUGAGCGGAACUGAUGGUGGAGCGGUGAAAUGCGUUGAUAGUCAUCAGGAACACCGGAGGCGAAGGCGGCUCACUGGGGGAUUUUCUGACGCUGAGGAACGAAAGCCAGGGGAGCGAACGGG